CUUCAAUGAGCUCCUGCUCAGCUACCUCAACCAGCUGCUCACCAGGAUCCUCAGCAACGGGUUCUUCUACUCGCCACAAUACAAACAAUCACAGGAUAUAGGGAAAAUUAACAUUACACCAAGCAUAUAAACAAAAUACACAGAGAUAUUCUACAUAUUAAAAUAAAAUUCUAGGAACAGGAAUCAUAAUUUUUGGAGUUAUAGAAUUUAAGUUAUGCAUUUUCAAAGGUUUUAUGUGUUUAAAAAUAGGAUUAAGUGAGAAAUAAAUUUCUUACUGUUUUCAUGACAAAACAGAGGCUCUAGGUGAUAGAGAAUAAAACUACAAAAUUUUAGCAACUGGAAUGAAUUAAUUUGGACUUCAUAUACAUUUUCUAUGAAUUAUCAAAGUUCUAGCAAUUAUUUUCCUAUUGAAAAUCCAUUUAUAAAUUAUUUUCUCUGGUUUUACACUGCUCUGGACUGGGCCUCAAAAUCUGAGAACAGCAGGGGCCCAGGCGCUAAAGAUUCUAAGACUCAGAAUACUAUGUAGUGUACGGCGGGUUGAUUUCCCUAUUUCCCAGGGUCUCUUUUACAAAACGCGCGGCCGAAGGGGGACUAUCAGAUCUCGGUCGUUGGAUCAUAAGCGGACGGUGUAGAUUAGAUCAGUUUAAUCCCAAUCGGUACGCAAACGGAGCCCUCGGAUCUGAGAUCAAGGGUCCAAGUUUAUCGUACACGCGACUAGAUCCCAACCGCCCGACACUGAAUCGACGCCUCAGAUGCGCAGUUCGAAUCGGUACGCGUAGUUCUAAUCCUGGCCGUCACGCUAGGAUCGGAUGGCACAGAGGAUCUCUCCUUCCCUCGACGGCGGAGUACGGUGGUGUGCCCAGAGUACGGCGGUUCCUCGCCGGCGCCGCGCUAACCGCGAGCCCGAUGAGCAAACCACCCCGAGGAAUCGCGCAAAAUGAAAUUCACCUACUUGUUAUUUGGAUAGGGGGCGCCAUACCAAGAUUUGUCGAGGUGGUGAUGCCACCCACGAUGCAUCGCACAUUUGCGGCGGAAACGAAGCUCCAGCGGCGAAUUCAGGCCGCCCCCGCGGUCGAUCCUUCCUCGGAUGGCCGCGAAACCUUCAGUCGACAACCCGCAAAGCCCUUGGACACCACUCGAGUGACAGGCCUUUAGGCGAAGACGACUACGGCACUUGCAGACGAUUUCUACCCCGCCCCACUCUCUCUGCACACGCACGUUGUCAGGCCGGAGCUCCGAUAACUUGAUACGGAAAAGGGGAAACGCUUGGGGAGGUGCGGAUGGAGCGGAGGUCGGGCGAGGGGCUCGGCUUCGGCUAUUUGAAGGGUGGUUCACGUCCAGCUGAGCUCCACGCCGGCUGCAGAGGUUGCAACCACCCACGCGAAGCUUACGGCGCGCGUGAAGGAGACGACCCGUGGAUGUGGUUAGCUGGAUGACAGCGGCCGGACCCGCAGAUCAGUGGCGCCAGCGCGCGUGAGAUUUAACUGGGCUACGCGGGGAUAGAAGCCAAAUGGGCCGAAAUGGAGCAGAAGCGGCCCAGUAGCACGAUUUCUCUUUUCCCUUUAUUCUUUUCUGGUUUCUUUUCCCUUUUUUUUGUUUUUUUUUUAGAAUUCAAAUUUGAAUUCGAAUUUGGUCCUGAAAUCCAUCAAUGAUAAAAGUGCACCAAGUUCAAAUUUUUGGAGUAUAGAAGUACUUUCUUAUUUAUAUAUUUUAUUCUACCUUAUUUGUUUAGUGGUGUUUUCUCUUUUCUCAAUUUUCAAGAAUUCCCUUUUAAAGCUUAAAUAGCCCUUUUUGGUAUUAAUAUAUUUCUUUUCUCUUUAUUUUUAUAUUGUCACAAAAUGCAUACACACAAAAAUAAUAUCCAGCAUGAUGCAUAAUUUAUUUGAGUGUCUUUUGUUAAUUAUUUAUUUGUUUAAUUGUGGUGUUCACAUGAAAUGAGAAACAUAGAUAACUCAUAUAUGUAUACGGAAUACAAUUUCUCUGCUUAGACUCUGUUUACAAAGUGGGUGUUACAAAUCCUACCCCCCUUAAAAAUAAUCUCGUCCCCGAGAUUUAAGAAGAACUAGAGAAAAGGUAGGGAAAAUCUAUGCGAAGCUCUUCUUCUCUUUCCCAAGUCGCUUCAUCUUCGCCAUGGUGACUCCAUUGCACUUUGCACAUCUUUAUCACCUUGUUUCUUGUAAUUCGAGUCAAUGUGUCAAGAAUCUUGAUAGGAUACUCCGUGUAAGUCAAAUCACCUUGAACACUAAGCUCUUCCAUUGGUAACUGUUCCUCAGGGACACGGAGACACUUCUUUAGUUGAGAUACGUGGAACACGUUAUGCACAUCCGAUAGACUAUCCGGUAACUCGAGUUGGUAUGCAACCUCUCCCACUUGCUUUAAGAUUAAAAAGGGUCCAAUAAAACGAGGGGACAAUUUGCCCUUAACUUUGAAUCUCCUCAUUCCACGAAGUGGUGACACCUUGAGGUACACAUAAUCUCCUUCUUCAAAUUCCAGUGGUCUUCUUCUAUUAUCAGCGUAGCUCUUUUGCCUGGUUUGAGCCACUCUCAAAUUCUCUCGAAUUAUACGAACUUGUUCUUCUGCUUCUUGAAUCAGUUCAGGCCCAAAGAACUGUCUCUCUCCAGUCUGAUCCCAAUACAAAGGAGUUCUGCACUUCCUCCCAUAUAAAGCUUCAAAAGGUGACAUCUUCAGACUGGCCUGGUAACUAUUAUUAUACGAGAACUCAGCAUAAGGCAGACUCUUAUCCCAACUUCCUCCAUGCUGAAGGGCACAAGCUCUCAACAUAUCUUCCAAUACUUGAUUAGUCCUUUCAGUCUGUCCAUCAGUCUAACGAUGGCAGGUCGAACUAAAAUUUAACUUCAUAACCAUAUUCUCAUGAAAACUUUUCCAAAAUCUGGAGGUAAAAUGUGAACCUCGAUCAGACACGAUCUUCUUUGGCACUCCAUGUAAACACACAAUCCGAGCCAUAUAUAACUCUGCUAGCUGAGAACCUUUAUAAGUAGUCUUCACAGGAAUAAAGUGAGCCACUUUAGUCAAUCUAUCCACAAUCACCCAUAUAGCAUCAUAUCCUUUCUGGGUGCGAGGCAAUCCAGUAAUGAAAUCCAUACCAAUCUCUUCCCACUUCCACUCGGGUAUCUUCAGUGGAUGUAAUAAUCCAGCUGGCCUCUGAUGUUCAGCCUUAACUCUUUGACAUACUUUGCACAUAGCCACAUGUGCAACCGCAUCUCUUUUCAAUCCAUACCACCAGUACUUUUGCUUCAAAUCCUGAUACAUCUUAGUGCUCCCAGGGUGGAUAGAAUAAACUGAAUCAUGUGCCUCCUUCAAUAUGGUUUCCCGAAGACUAUCAAUAUCGGGAACACAGAUCCGAUUCUUGAACCAUAUCGUGCCUUGUUCAUCCUCCGUGAACUCCGGGCCUCUACCCUCUGUUAUCAGAUCCUUGAUCUCUUGAAUCUUAGCAUCACCAACCUGACCCUUACGAAUCUCUUGCUCCAAGGUAGGUUCCAAUUCAAUAGUCACUCCUUCCGUAUGUGUAACAAUUCCCAGGUUGAGUCUCUCAAAAUCUUUUGCUAAUUCAUCAGGUAGCUGGACAACGAAAGCGGAGUGAACAUGUUCCUUCCGACUCAAGGCAUCUGCAACCAAAUUUGCCUUGCCUGGGUGAUAGUGAAUCUCCAAAUCAUAAUCUUUAAUGAGCUCCAACCAACGGCGUUGCCUAAGGUUGAGAUCCUUUUGAGUGAAUAUGUACUUCAAACUCUUGUGAUCCGUGUAUACUUGGCACUUAGUUCUCAUAAUGUAGUGUCUCCAAAUCUUCAGUGCAUGCACAACUGCUGCCAAUUCCAAGUCAUGAGUGGGGUAAUUCAAUUCAUGUUUCCGCAACUGACGAGAUGCAUAGGCGAUCACAUGACCAUCUUGCAUAAGCACACAUCCAAGUCCUUGGCCACAUGCAUCACAGUAAAUAUCAAAUCCCUUCUGCAGAUCUGGCAUAAUCAAUACUGGAGGUGACAUCAAUCUCUCCUUCAAUUGAUCAAAGCUCUCUUGGCACUUCUCAUCCCACUUGAAUUCUCUUCCUUUCUCCAAAAGCGAUGUCAUGGGCUUAGCAAUCUUAGAAAAUCCUUCAAUAAAUCUCCGAUAAUAUCCUGCGAGUCCCAAGAAACUCCGGACCUCAGUAACUGUAGUGGGAAUGUUCCACGCCAUAAUAUCCUUGACUUUAGCAGGAUCCACUGAUAUCCCUCCAUUAGAAAUGAUAUGUCCGAGGAAUGACACCUCAUCAAUCCAAAACUCGCACUUGCUGAACUUAGCAUAGAGUUGAUUAUCUCGUAACUUCUGUAGCACCAACCUCAGAUGUUCCUCAUGAUCAUUAUCACUCUGAGAAUAACUGAGAAUAUCGUCGAUGAAUACCACGACGAAUCUGUCCAAAUACUCCAUAAACACUUUGUUCAUCAAGUUCAUAAAAUAAGCUGGUGCAUUGGUUAAUCCAAACGACAUAACAGUAAACUCAUAUAAUCCAUAUCGAGUCGAGAAAGCCGUCUUGGGGAUAUCCGAUGGUCUAAUCCUCAUCUGAUGGUAACCCGAUCGGAGAUCAAUCUUCGAAAAUACUCUUGCACCUCUCAUCUGAUCAAAUAAAUCCUCAAUACGGGGCAAUGGAUACUUGUUCUUCACUGUAACAUCAUUAAGAGAUCUAUAAUCCACACACAUCCCUUGCGAUCCUUCUUUCUUCUGUACAAUUAGAACCGGCGCUCCACAAGGUGAAGAAUUCGGACGAAUGUACCCAUCCUCUUGUAAUUCCAUUAAUUGCUCCUUAAGUUUCUUUAGUUCUUCUACGAACAUCCUGUAUGGCCGUUUGAAAGUAGGGGCAGUUCCAGGUAAGAGAUCUAUGACAAACCCAACUUCCGUAUCUGGUGGCAUCCCUGGUAACUCCUCUGGAAAGACAUCCGGAAAAUCCUUAACCACACGGAUGUUGUCACCAACAAACUUCCCAUCGACUAAGAAUGCCGCUAGUUUGGUGGCGGUAGUUACUGCAAUUCCAACUUCAAAUCUUUCUCCUUUGGAACUGGUGAGUUCUAUGGUUCCUUAGCACAGUGCAUAUACUGCCUUUGCCUUUCUUAACCAUGACAUACCAAGGAUCAUGUCUAUAGUGCUCUCUUCUAACACUAUAGGGGUAGCCCAUCUGGGUUAGAAACACAGGGGACGAAAGAAAGGAUUGUAGACAAGGCAGUGAUUACGAAGCAUGUUACUUUGGGGGAUUUAUUAGCUAAGUGUGUCACCUACUAAAGCUAAUUCAUUACCUUAUCGUGGUACAUGCUAAGAUGCCCGUCUAUACUAUUUCAAUCAAUCAAAGAAGCAAAUCAGGCAUUGAUCAUCAGAACAAUCAACCAACAUUUUUAAUAGAGAAAAUAAUUUUAAUUUUUGUCUUAGGCCUCCUAUCUCCUAAGAAUGUCAUAAACGUAGGAUUCCAAGGUGUGAAAUCCAUCUUGUCUCAGAGUAGAAAAGGUAAGAAUGAUCAGAGUAGAACAGUAGAAGGUGAGACAGGAUCAAGUUAAGUAUAGAAAGAAUCAGAGUAAGGUAAGUAUAGAAUGAAUCAGAAUGAGAUAAGUAGGUAAGGGUUGUCCAUUUCUAUCUAGGUUUCGUCCUACAGUCAACAUUUCCUCUGAUACCACUUCUGUAACACCCGGUUUUAAAGAACAAAGCCGGGUGCAUCUCAUACAUGCGCCAAAGAAGACAACAUAUAUAAUAACAGAGUGUAUAGAGAUAAAUGUCAUAAAACAUCAGAGUAUUUAUUACAUAGCGGAAGACUUAUUACAAGAUAAAAGUGUAACAUAAAACGAACUAAGGAUCGUCGGCGCCAAUGUCGACUGAGAAACGCCACCUAGAUCAGAUCAUACUCCUCGCCUUGUGGCUCCUCCUGAACCACCUGUUCUUCUCCUGUGGGGGGUGUGAGACAGCAAGAGUGAGCUCACAUACGUUCAUCGCUCAACAAGUUGUGGGGAAUAAUGUGGCAUGAACUCACCAAAGGUGGGAGUUCAUGUAGUGUAAGGCUGAUCAAUGGAAUAAAGGCUGAGGCUGAGCAUUGCUUUUAUAAGUUGGUCAAAAUUUUAUUAGCAAUUACUAAGUGUAAGUAAAUACCAAACCUUAAUAAUAAUAAAGAACAAUAAUAGUAAAAUAAUCCCAAAUGCGAUGCAAAUGUCAAAUUGAAUUUAAGUUCCAUAAUUAAUCAUGUGAGGGUCCGAGCCGCUCUUGACCGUGAGCACGGCUAGUAUACUAGUUUUACACUCUGCAGAGGUUGCGCAUCUUUACCCACAAGUCGUGUAUCCCAUGUCGCCUGGGUUUGCAAGGCCCUUAGACACUACCGAGGUGAAUGGCUAGGGAUCCACUACGAGGCCUUUACAAAGUUCCACUAGCUUCCGAAAACCCGCUACAGUUUAUGGGAAGAUCCAGUAAAGGGUUCCUGGCUGAUAGCCAUCGCAGCAAAAUCAACCAGGGACCUCCCCGCACUGACCUCUCCCCUACUGCCCUUGCCCCUUUCGGGUAAGGUAGUCUUCCACUAGCUUUCCUAAUUAGUCAGCCAAGGGCGUCCCAUUAAACCCUUGUGGUAGCACUGUUUUCCCGGGUGGUUCUCCAUGUUCCCAUUAAUUUAAUGAUCUUAACAUGAACAAUAAUAAUAACAAGUUAAUAACAGCAUAAUCAUGAAUAGUGUAUCUCCAUACCCAAUCCACAUAAAGCAAUAGCAAGUACUACCCAAAAAUAUUUCAGGGGUGAACAAGGUAUAGAGGUAAUCAAAACUGGGGUAACAUAAAGGCUCCCAUCAAAAUUAUCCUAUGCAGAUCAUUAAAAUUAAUAAGAACAUGGCUGGGAAAGUAAGUGAUCAAGGGCACAACUUGCCUUCAAUGAGCUCCUGCUCAGCUACCUCAACCAGCUGCUCACCAGGAUCCUCAGCAACGGGUUCUUCUACUCGCCACAAUACAAACAAUCACAGGAUAUAGGGAAAAUUAACAUUACACCAAGCAUAUAAACAAAAUACACAGAGAUAUUCUACAUAUUAAAAUAAAAUUCUAGGAACAGGAAUCAUAAUUUUUGGAGUUAUAGAAUUUAAGUUAUGCAUUUUCAAAGGUUUUAUGUGUUUAAAAAUAGGAUUAAGUGAGAAAUAAAUUUCUUACUGUUUUCAUGACAAAACAGAGGCUCUAGGUGAUAGAGAAUAAAACUACAAAAUUUUAGCAACUGGAAUGAAUUAAUUUGGACUUCAUAUACAUUUUCUAUGAAUUAUCAAAGUUCUAGCAAUUAUUUUCCUAUUGAAAAUCCAUUUAUAAAUUAUUUUCUCUGGUUUUACACUGCUCUGGACUGGGCCUCAAAAUCUGAGAACAGCAGGGGCCCAGGCGCUAAAGAUUCUAAGACUCAGAAUACUAUGUAGUGUACGGCGGGUUGAUUUCCCUAUUUCCCAGGGUCUCUUUUACAAAACGCGCGGCCGAAGGGGGACUAUCAGAUCUCGGUCGUUGGAUCAUAAGCGGACGGUGUAGAUUAGAUCAGUUUAAUCCCAAUCGGUACGCAAACGGAGCCCUCGGAUCUGAGAUCAAGGGUCCAAGUUUAUCGUACACGCGACUAGAUCCCAACCGCCCGACACUGAAUCGACGCCUCAGAUGCGCAGUUCGAAUCGGUACGCGUAGUUCUAAUCCUGGCCGUCACGCUAGGAUCGGAUGGCACAGAGGAUCUCUCCUUCCCUCGACGGCGGAGUACGGUGGUGUGCCCAGAGUACGGCGGUUCCUCGCCGGCGCCGCGCUAACCGCGAGCCCGAUGAGCAAACCACCCCGAGGAAUCGCGCAAAAUGAAAUUCACCUACUUGUUAUUUGGAUAGGGGGCGCCAUACCAAGAUUUGUCGAGGUGGUGAUGCCACCCACGAUGCAUCGCACAUUUGCGGCGGAAACGAAGCUCCAGCGGCGAAUUCAGGCCGCCCCCGCGGUCGAUCCUUCCUCGGAUGGCCGCGAAACCUUCAGUCGACAACCCGCAAAGCCCUUGGACACCACUCGAGUGACAGGCCUUUAGGCGAAGACGACUACGGCACUUGCAGACGAUUUCUACCCCGCCCCACUCUCUCUGCACACGCACGUUGUCAGGCCGGAGCUCCGAUAACUUGAUACGGAAAAGGGGAAACGCUUGGGGAGGUGCGGAUGGAGCGGAGGUCGGGCGAGGGGCUCGGCUUCGGCUAUUUGAAGGGUGGUUCACGUCCAGCUGAGCUCCACGCCGGCUGCAGAGGUU
rnacentral:lncRNA from 1 species